UGAUCAGGCUGGCUUUGGAAUUAACCCCAGAGCUGAAAAGUCUGGGUUAGCAGUGCUCGGGGCUCCUCGACAGACAGUGCUAAUGAUGACACAGCAUUGUGCUCACGACUUGUUAAACGCCAGACUUGAACGAGAUCGCCGUGUAUUAAACCCACACAGCCCAGUCACAGGGCCCAUGUGCGGACCCAGACCUGCUCAGAAGUGCAUCUGAGAACUUGUUGUGGCCACACAGGUCUCCAGGCUGCCAGCACUGGCACAAGUGAGACAAGGCACGGAACAGAGAACUUGAGAUGCUGAGCCAGAUGCUGAGCUCCUGGAGAAAACAAAAGGGGAUGGGGGAUCUGACUGCAUCCAGGGAAACCCUUGGUGCGGUGGAAGAUCCUGUACCUGCCAAAUUUUUCCC